rnacentral:lncRNA from 1 species
GGCCAGUGAUUAAUAAUGAUCUGGUUGAAAUGAAAGCACCAAUCUUGUUAGAAAGCGAAAAUCAAACCGGCAUCAUUUGUUUACGAUCUGCGGAAAAAGAAAACAAGAGCAUACGAAUACAUAUAGAUCCGUGUUUGAAUGGGUCAUCCGUCUAAACCAAAGCUCACCAAAAGAAAACAAUGUUGCAACCUUUGCAAUAUACCACAUCUUUUGGUUACAUAUAUGCGGCGAAAACAAUGCAAUGUUUGCGAUAAUUAAAUCAUCAAGUCAUAGAGGAACCAUACUGAUCGGGCAAACAAAAAAAAAAUGAUAGUGUAUAUAUUCAAACAAGUUG